UACGUAGGGUGCGAGCGUUGUCCGGAAUUAUUGGGCGUAAAGAGCUUGUAGGCGGUUUGUCGCGUCUGCUGUGAAAAUCCGGGGCUCAACCCCGGGCCUGCAGCCGAUACGGGCAGACUAGAGUUCGGCAGGGGAGACUGGAAUUCCUGGUGUAGCGGUGAAAUGCGCAGAUAUCAGGAGGAACACCGGUGGCGAAGGCGGGUCUCUGGGCCGAUACUGACGCUGAGGAGCGAAAGCGUGGGGAGCGAACAGG
rnacentral:rRNA from 1 species